rnacentral:rRNA from 2 species
GGCUCAGAUUGAACGCUGGCGGCAUGCUUUACACAUGCAAGUCGAACGGCAGCACGAAAGAGCUUGCUCUUUUGGUGGCGAGUGGCGAACGGGUGAGUAAUACAUUGGAACGUACCGAGUAAUGGGGGAUAACUGUCCGAAAGGAUGGCUAAUACCGCAUACGCUCUGAGGAGGAAAGCGGGGGACCUUCGGGCCUCGCGUUAUUCGAGCGGCCAAUGUCUGAUUAGCUAGUUGGUGGGGUAAAGGCCUACCAAGGCGACGAUCAGUAGUGGGUCUGAGAGGAUGAUCCGCCACACUGGGACUGAGACACGGCCCAGACUCCUACGGGAGGCAGCAGUGGGGAAUUUUGGACAAUGGGCGAAAGCCUGAUCCAGCCAUGCCGCGUGUCUGAAGAAGGCCUUCGGGUUGUAAAGGACUUUUGUCAGGGAAGAAAGGGUUUGGGUUAAUACCCUGAGCUUAUGACG